UACAGAGGGGGCAAGCGUUAUUCGGAAUUAUUGGGCGUAAAGGGCGCGUAGGCGGCCUGGCAAGUGGAAGGUGAAAUCCCUCGGCUUAACCGAGGAACUGCCCUCCAAAACUGCUUGGCUUGAGUCCGGGAGAGGUGAGUGGAAUUCCCAGUGUAGCGGUGAAAUGCGUAGAUAUUGGGAGGAACACCAGUGGCGAAGGCGGCUCACUGGACCGGAACUGACGCUGAGGCGCGAAAGCGUGGGGAGCAAACAGG
rnacentral:rRNA from 1 species